CCUACGGGGGGCUGCAGUGGGGAAUAUUGCACAAUGGGGGAAACCCUGAUGCAGCGACGCCGCGUGAAUGAAGAAGUAUCUCGGUAUGUAAAGCUCUAUCAGCAGGGAAGAAAAUGACGGUACCUGACUAAGAAGCCCCGGCUAACUACGUGCCAGCAGCCGCGGUAAUACGUAGGGGGCAAGCGUUAUCCGGAUUUACUGGGUGUAAAGGGAGCGUAGGCGGGUUUGCAAGUCAGGAGUGAAAGCCCGUGGCUUAACCCUGGUACUGCUCUUGAAACUGUGGAGCUUGAGUGCAGGAGGGGUAGGCGGAAUUCGUAGUGUAGCGGUGAAAUGCGUAGAUAUUAGGAGGAACACCGGUGGCGAAGGCGGCCUACUGGACUGUAACUGACGUUGAGGCUCGAAAGCGUGGGGAGCAAACAGGAUUAGAUACCCCGGUAGUC
rnacentral:rRNA from 1 species